UAUUACCUUUACAAUGUAAUGUAGAAUCAUCUGCAUAUAAAUCUAUUAAUGAAUGUUCUAUAUUAAGUGGUAAAUCAUUGAUAUAUAAAAUAAAUAACAAAGGGCCCAGGAUAGAACCUUGUGGUACCCCAGUUUUUAUGCAUUUAGUAUUAGACAUGACGUUAUUGACCUUAACUUGUUGGCUUCGUUCAAACAAGUAUGACUUAAACCAGUCUAGUGUACAAUUUGAAACAUUAUAAUAUUCAAGUUUUUUCAAUAAAAUUAUAUGAUUAACCAGAUCAAAAGCUUUCUUUAAAUCUAAAAAUAUAACUCCGUUUAUCUCUCCAUUAUCUAUAUUUGCCAACCAUUCAUCUACUAAUUUAGUAAGUGCAGUAGUACACGAAUGUUUAGGUCUGAAACCUGACUGUGUAGUAUUAAGAAGGUCAUUACUAUUUAAAAAUAUAUACAAACUAUUAGCUAUAUGUCGUUCUAUGAUUUUUGAGAGACAAGGCAAAACUGCUAUUGGUCUAUAAUUAUCAGGAUUACAGGCAUCGCCACUUUUAAAAAUUGGGCAAACUCUUGCAGUUUUAAAAAUACUUGGAAAUUUACCACUUUUGAUGCUUAGAUUAAAUAUAUAUGUCAAGGCUGGUGCAAUGACAUCGCUGCACAUACUUAAAAUAUUUGGUCCGACAUCAUCUAAACCAGUUGCUUUAGACUUGUCAAGUUUUUUUAAAUACAUGUUUACAUCUAAAAUACUCAUUUCUGGUAUAAUGAAUUUUUCACUACCCGUUUGUAACUUUGAUUUUACAAAUUUAUUGAGUGCAUCAAAUCUGGCACCAUCAUCAUUAUUACAUAAUUUGUCAUCAACU
rnacentral:lncRNA from 1 species